rnacentral:ncRNA from 1 species
UUGGUCCUGACUUUACUGUCAGCUUUGAUCAAAUUUAUACAUGCAAGCAUCCGCACCCCUGUGAGAAUGCCCUACCUAUCCCCAGCAUGGGAAGAAGGAGCAGGCAUCAGGCACAACCCCAAGUUGGCCCAAGACACCUUGCUUAGCCACACCCCCAAGGGGACCCAGCAGUAAUAGACAUUAAGCGAUGAGCGAAAGCUCGACUUAGUUAAGAAUCAAAAAGAGCCGGUUAAACUCGUGCCAGCCACCGCGGUUAUACGAGAGGCUCAAGCUGACAGAUUUCGGCGUAAAGGGUGGUUAACAAAUAACAAACUAAGGCGGAACACCCUCAAGGCAGUUAUACGCACCCGAGGAUAGGAACCUCCUAUACGAAAGUGGCCUUAACCACGUGAACCCACCAAAGCUAGGAGACAAACUGGGAUUAGAUACCCCACUAUGCCUAGCCCUAAACCUAGACACUCCAACACGAUGUGUUCGCCAGGGAACAACGAGCCUCAGCUUAAAACCCAAAGGACUUGGCGGUGCUUUAGACCCCCCUAGAGGAGCCUGUUCUAGAACCGAUACUCCCCGUUAAACCUCACCCCCUCUUGUUUACCCCGCCUAUAUACCGCCGUCGUCAGCUUACCCCGUGAGGGCCUAAUAGUAAGCAGAAUUGGCAAAGCCCAAAACGUCAGGUCGAGGUGUAGCGCACGAGUGGGGAAGAAAUGGGCUACAUUUGCUGCUACCAGCAAACACGGACAUUGCACUGAAAAAGCACUCAAAGGAGGAUUUAGCAGUAAGGGGCGAAUAGAGUGCCCCCCUGAAAACGGCCCUGAAGCGCGCACACACCGCCCGUCACUCUCCCCGACGGUCUUGCACCAUAAAUAAUUAAAGAAUGCCAAAGAAGGGGAGGCAAGUCGUAACAUGGUAAGUGUACCGGAAGGUGCACUUGGAAAAACC